rnacentral:rRNA from 1 species
GAUGAACGCUGACAGAAUGCUUAACACAUGCAAGUCUUUGGCGAAGCUGUGCUUGCUCAGCCUAGCCAAGGCGGACGGGUGAGUAACGCGUAAGGAACUUGCCCUGCAGUCAGGGAUAACAGACGGAAACGACUGAUAAGACCUGGUAAAGUCAGGCGGACUCAUGUCCAGCCUGAUGAAAAGAGAUGCUGCAGGAGAGCCUUGCGUCCUAUUAGCUUGUUGGUGGGGUAACGGCCCACCAAGGCGAUGAUAGGUAGCCGGCCUGAGAGGGUGGACGGCCACAAGGGGAGUGAGAUACGGCCCAUACUCCUACGGGGGGCAGCAGUGGGGAAUAUUGGACAAUGGGGGCAACCCUGAUACAGCAAUUCUGUGUGCACGAUGAAGGUUUGCGGAUUGUAAAGUGCUUUCAGCAGGGAAGAAAAAAAUGACGGUACCUGCAGAAGAAGCGACGGCUAAAUACGUG